rnacentral:rRNA from 1 species
UACGGGGGGGGCAAGCGUUGUUCGGAAUUACUGGGCGUAAAGGGCUCGUAGGUGGCCAAUUAAGUCAGACGUGAAAUCCCUCGGCUUAACCGAGGAACUGCCAUCCAGACUGCUUUGCUUGAGGCCGGGAGAGGUGAGUGGAAUUCCCAGUGUAGCGGUGAAAUGCGUAGAUAUCAGGAGGAACACCGGUGGCGAAGGCGGCUUCCUGGACACUAACUGACGCUGAGACGCGAAAGCGUGGGGAGCAAACAGG